CCUUAGUUUGACUGUGUGUUUGUCUACAUGUGACCCUGUCCAGGAUGAACGUUGCCCCCAGCAGCUGGCUGCAGGGAUGAGCUUCAUCUCCCUCUGGAAAGGAUUAGGCAACAGAAGAGAAUCAAUGUUGAAGCUGAGAAGUAUUUGCCAAAAGUGGCUUCUGAAGUCAUGACGUCAGAUUUGUUCUGCUGGACAGGAUUGUUAAAUGAGGUUCUAAUUUACACAUCAACAAAUUCAAGUGAAAAAGACUUAGCGAAUUAGUGAUUUAUGAUGGGAUAAUCAGGGCUAUGGGGUGUCAAACUCAUUUGGGUGCAGGGGCCACAUACGGCCUAAUAGCUGUGAAGUGGGCCGUACCAGUACAGUCAGAACAUGAAUACAUUAAAUAAAAACAAGCACGUGUUUAUUCCCCUCUUGUUUUCCUGCAAAUAAGCACAUUAGAAAAUAUUCAUAUUUAAUGAAAUGUGAUUUGACAAACCAUCAUGAACAUGAAGUGUUUGUGGAUUUUUUUUCACUUUCAAACCCCAUCAAGUGGGCCGGAUUGAACCCCCUAGAUGGCCGGUUUUGGCCCGCGGGCCGUAUGUUUGACUCUCACGUCAAAGUUUAAAUUUGACUCUCACGUUGAAGACACCGCAGCUCCACUGACUGACAAACACGACUCAGUCGCUGCAGUAGCGGCGGAUUUUGCAACGCGCAGCCACAGAAACAUCCCGUUUACCCCUGUUUUGAAAUCUCUUGUGAAACCUACUGUUUACACAGCACUUCGUCCUAACACUGCAGCACAACAUCAGCUCACCCUUGCGCACAUUUGGAGGUGAAACCCUGGGAAGAAUCUGAGUGUAAAUACCGUCGGUCAACACCUCGUGGACCUUGACCGCGUCUUCCCAGCGUUCCCUGUCCAGCGACUACGCCGAGGUAGAGUUUCCUCACACUUUAAUGCGUGCCAGCGGUAAUCACUGACAGAUGUUAAUGUGUACACGUUCAAUUCCAACAAUGCCGUGUGUGUGUUAUGACGAACAGGGUCACAGUUGGUCGGUCACAGUUUCACUGAAACCAGCUGCCGCUGCAUCAAAACAAAGUCACCGCCACGAAAACAUCACCGGCUCUGAAGGGAACGUCUUAUUACACAAGUCUGCUGCUCAUCUGUGUUGUGUUAGCACACUUGUGUAACACGCUGUGUGUUACUGGUCACUCGCGGCGUUUCACCGUGUGCUGUCACAGAGGCAUUCACACAGUUGUCAAGGAAUGGAGAAGAAGAUUUAAAUACGGAUAAACAUCUGUGAAACAGGGCUGAGGUUGUGAACUCAGUCAAGUCAGAACAACAAGGUAUGUUAUGAAUUUGGCUGUUUUCUUUUUACAUUCUUGGUGUAAAAAAAGCUGGAGUUGUUGAAAUUAAAUUAUCUUAAAAAACAAGAAUACACUGAUGUAUUAAUCAUUGAGAUAGUUGAAAAUGACCCUUGUUAUCGGUAAUGACACGAUUACAUGCUGCUCAACUGAUUACAGUUACAGCAACAGUGACCUCUGCAGGAUCUUUGGUACAAAUGAACAGCUACAGCUCGAUACGAUAUACUAUACUGUAUUAGAAAUGUGUUUGUUUAUCUUACCAUAAAUGGAAAUGUAUUUGAAGUCGUAAUUAUUUAGAUUAGUUUGGGUAAAAAAAGGGACGGUUAUAGUUUUUUUGUGUAAAUAAUAAUAAUAAAUCAAAUUAAAUCACAAUAAUAAUAAUAGUGAUAUUGGGUCAAUUCCCACCAUUCCAUCAUACAUUUGAAAGAAAAAAAGUGACAGAAGGAAGAUCUACACAGCAGUAGUGAGGUCUGCUAUGAUGUAUGUUUUGCUGUAUGAUUAACAAUGACUUGGAGGCCACAGUUUGGACACGUGUCAAGGAGGAGAGAAAAGAGAUAAUCGGUGAAGAUGAGGAAGAGCCUGAAGAUGAUUUGCUGUGCAGAAGUUGACGAGGAGCACACAUAUGUGCCUCAUCUGGACCCCUCAAAAUAGAUCCUCUUUUUGACCAACAUGGUGGACAGAUGUGAGCAAACCAGAGCUGAACAGCCACGGGUCAGCACAACGAAGAAACUUGAUAACACCAAACAUAUUCAAAAGUUAAAAAAAAGAAGGAGAAUAAACACAUCAAUCUGAUGAAAAUGUUUGAGGUGUAACUCAGAUCUGUGAGCAGAAAACAUUCUUCAGUGUCUGACUGUGGACUGUAAAUUCACCGUGACAACAAAGGGAGUGGAUUAUUCAUCGUCAUGUGGAUGUUUGGGAGUCACUGUACUGUUGUGUAUAUGGAUAAACGCGGCGAAGGAACAAACCCAGCACUAUGGAGACGAUGGCUAUGACCACCAGCCCGACCACGGCCGGGAUGAUGAUGAAAGUCAGAUUCAGUUCCUCCUCCUCUGGGGUCGCAGUUUCGCUUGUACUGGUCUCCCCUGAACCUGACGAUAGAACUGCGAUUUCAUAGAUGUCCGGUUUGUAUUCAGUGGGGUCCGGAUCAUCUGUGCUCUCCUUCUCCACCUCCUCUUCGUUUGCCUCGGUUUCUGGUUGUGACAAAACUGAAACACAACUCCUCUUCAUUAUGAAACUCUAUGUGUCACUAAAACACACAUUAGUGGAAGAAGACAGUUAUUUUGAAAAGGGUGGAGCUGUUGGGUUUCUGAAGCAAAGGAGUGUAACUCAGCGUAACUAACUUCACAGGAACUCAACACUUCCGUCCGCAGGAACACUGGUUACAAAUAUUAAAUCUGUUACAAAAGACGUGUGAAGGUGGCGAUAUAAGACAUAACGUGUCUGUAUUUUGUUCUGCUUCUCUUUAUAACGAAGUGACGGGAGAUUAAACUGCACUCUGGUAUAAAUGUUCACAGACUUUUAGUUUAAACUGAUAUACAGGAAAAUGAAGUUUUUUAAAGGUGGGUUUGACAUUCAGGGAUUAAAUGUUUAGAAGAAGUAGAAACACCAUGACUUUACAGUUUCUGUUACCUUUUAGUACUUUAUAAAAUACUGUUCAAUUUGAGUCCUUAAUGCCAGUAACAUGAAUUAAUUACUUUACACUUUACAAAGUAAAACAGACUGAACCACAAACAGAGGUUUGGUAGAAGGGAGGUCUCAGUCCUACCUGUCCC